GAUGAACGCUAGCUACAGGCUUAACACAUGCAAGUCGAGGGGCAGCAUGGUCUUAGCUUGCUAAGGCCGAUGGCGACCGGCGCACGGGUGAGUAACACGUAUCCAACCUGCCGUCUACUCUUGGACAGCCUUCUGAAAGGAAGAUUAAUACAAGAUGGCAUCAUGAGUCCGCAUGUUCACAUGAUUAAAGGUAUUCCGGUAGACGAUGGGGAUGCGUUCCAUUAGAUAGUAGGCGGGGUAACGGCCCACCUAGUCUUCGAUGGAUAGGGGUUCUGAGAGGAAGGUCCCCCACAUUGGAACUGAGACACGGUCCAAACUCCUACGGGGGGCAGCAGUGAGGAAUAUUGGUCAAUGGGCGAGAGCCUGAACCAGCCAAGUAGCGUGAAGGAUGACUGCCCUAUGGGUUGUAAACUUCUUUUAUAAAGGAAUAAAGUCGGGUAUGGAUACCCGUUUGCAUGUACUUUAUGAAUAAGGAUCGGCUAACUCCGUGCCAGCAGCCGCGGUAAUACGGAGGAUCCGAGCGUUAUCCGGAUUUAUUGGGUUUAAAGGGAGCGUAGAUGGAUGUUUAAGUCAGUUGUGAAAGUUUGCGGCUCACCCGUAAAAUUGCAGUUGAUACUGGAUAUCUUGAGUGCAGUUGAGGCAGGCGGAAUUCGUGGUGUAGCGGUGAAAUGCUUAGAUAUCACGAAGAACUCCGAUUGCGAAGGCAGCCUGGUAAGCUGCAACUGACAUUGAGGCUCGAAAG
rnacentral:rRNA from 1 species